rnacentral:lncRNA from 1 species
AAAAUCCACCAUCAACCAGAACGAACCACAAAGGUUACCUCUGCUGGGGAAAAGAGAUAGGGCUUACAACUACCGAAUACGGGGUAGUACCAGCAACUCUGAUGAGGAUAAACAGGAUUAGGGUUUACAACUACCGAAUACUGGGUAGAAAACCAACAACUCCGCGUGGGGAAUGAAAGAAUCUCAAAUCCGCACAGGAAACAAAAUAGGGUUUAUAACAAACCACA